rnacentral:rRNA from 1 species
AUGAACAAAACGAAAAAGACCCAGAGGAGGUCCAAAAACCUCCACUCACCGAAGAAAAGGUCGAAGAGGCAGCACCGGCGGAAACGACUGAAAAGAAACCUCAACAAGACACGCACGCAGACACAAGCAAAGAAGCAAAGGGCCACAGUGCAUUGGAAAACCAUGCGACAAACAUUCCAGAGAGAGUCAGACAACAACAAGAAAAAGGCUGCACCAUCAGACAAGAAACGUUGUGUUGUAAAAGAUGUUGCCACCACAAACACGACGGUAACCCAGGACAACACUCAAACAGAACGUGAACCGUUGAUCAUACAAAACCUGGCCAUCGAAGAAGGCACAAAAGAUGAAGGGAUCGAACGCCUGGACAACAACGUCAUGACAGCGAAUAAGGACAAAGGGCACGAGAUUUUAAUAAAUACAAAGACCUCAACAGUAACGGUCAGCCACAUGGCACAAAGCUUCGACAUUGGAAAGGCAGUGCGCAGCGAAACCAUGGCAGUCAUGCUACAGAUGUUGAAAAAGCAACUCAGGGGCACAAAGAGAGAGAUUCUAUCAACAUACAACACCGCAUCAAUACGCAUGGCCAACCAUGAAGAUCCAUUGGAAUUGAAACAUAAAGACGAAGCACACGUCAGAGACAAGACAAUUCCUAAAAGGCUUAAAAGAUUCCUUGAUCUGGAAGAAGGAGAGAAACUACAAGAUUUCGACAUGGAACAAGUCCCAGAGUUGAGAAAGAAAAUUCUCUAUCAAAUAAUCAGCCAAUACAGAGAUACGACCGCACUGUCACUAAUCAACUACACCGCAGAUAUGCUGAAAUCUAAGGUCGAUAUGGAAGAUAGUGAAAUGCAACGAAUACAUUGUGACAUAAUUCAACAAGAGAUUCCUCCAACUCCCAAGCACAUUGGAACGAGCGCUCAAGAGAUAAAAGUUAUUGACAUUAGUGACACAAGCAGCGAUGAGGAGAAAGAAGAUUGUCAUGUGAGCAGCAAGGAUACCACCAAGGUGUCUGAAGAAGCACUCAUGGAAGAACAAGCCCAGACAGAUGCUGGUUUACAGAGGGAACAACACGUGCCGCCAGACACUGAUUUACAAAAGGAAGACGAACGGAAAGAUCCACCGAUAGAACCAGACAGACCACCCCCAGAUAAAAACAAUGAAGGCAUAACACGCUCUCCUUUAGAAGUGGAUAACAGGACAAAGAGCGUACCAACUCGCCAACAACAGCUUUCCAAACAGAACAUGAACCCUGUUGGCGAAGAUCGCAUAUCAGGAACAUCACCAGAGGCAGAACAUGCACAAGAGGAAAAGAAGCAGAAAGAGAAGCAUUUAGUAGAAAAGAUACUUCAAAAGAGGAAACGCGAUGCUGAAGUCUCAGUAGAACCGAGCAUCAAAAACAACAACACACAAAAGGACACACCAACACCUGGCAGCUUAACGAGCAGGCGUAGUUAG